rnacentral:rRNA from 1 species
UACGUAGGAGGCGAGCGUUGUCCGGAUUUACUGGGCGUAAAGGGCGCGCAGGCGGCAUACCAAGUACGGUGUGAAAUCUCCCUGCUCAACGGGGAGGGCGCAUUGUAAACUGGUAAGCUAGAGGACGGUAGAGGGGGGUAGAAUUGCUGGUGUAGCGGUGAAAUGCGUAGAGAUCAGCAGGAAUACCCGUGGCGAAGGCGGCCCCCUGGGCCGAACCUGACGCUGAGGCGCGAAGGCUAGGGGAGCGAACGGG